AUAUCUAUGGUUAGCACGUCUGGUAGCAUCUCUGGCUGCUGUUGACCUUCUUUUUGGAGUAAAACACGGUGGAAGCUGAAUUAGUGAGGAUGACUCCUGCUCCUGUCAUCUCUAAGCUCCUCACACAUCUUUACCUGCACAUGAGGAAAAUCACUCCUGUAGAAUGCAGUGGUUCAUCAGAACCUCUGGGGAUGUCCUGUGGAUUCUGUGGAUCCUGUGGGUUGCAGGGUGGGUCCUACCUAGACCAGGCUGAUCCUGGACCAUCCCACAGAUGCUCCAUCAGAUCUGGAUGUGGGGAGUGUGGAACCCAGAUGUUCAGAAGGAGAUGAUGCCACAUCUGGUCCAGACGAUGGAAGGUCUUGAAGUUCUCUGACUGGCCUCGACUGAAGAUGGUCGUCUCACUGGAUUUAAGGUUCAGAUGCUCAGUAACAAACUCCACCAAUGAGCCAACAGGGAAGCUUUAGGUUUAUUAAAUGUUGCUAUGAAGGUUUCGCUGUUUUUCUUUGUGAAUGCAAUGUGCUCCAACUGAAACUUGAAUUAGAACUUAGAAGUAAAUCCUUCCAUCUGAAAGGUUUUAGUUGCAUUAAUAACCUCAUAACAUUCUAAUUUUUAUUCCAGUCUUGGUUGGAAAUAGAAUCUCUGGAUUGAUUCAGGUAAAAACUGAACUUCACAGCAUGUUGCAGCAAAACAACCAGAUGAAAACUGUGAUGGUGUUGGAUUGUCAGACCGUAAUGUUGCAGCUCAAAGCAGCUUUUCUAGCUCAGUUCAUUCUGACAUUCAGCUAUGAAUCAACACAGCAGAUGGUGAUCCAUGCUGUGGAAGUCUCACAUCUCCUGAUUUAAUGGAGCUGCUUUGCACUUUUUACACUGUUUAUUCACCAACACUUUAUUUAAUAAAAGUCCCAUCUAGUUUUUAUGAGGAAUGUGAUGCUUUAAUUUCUCUGUGAAUAACUGCAGUCUAAUGCAACAGCUGGAAUUGUAACAUCUGUCCUGAUAUUGAUCAUGAAGUAUUGAUCAGAAUACUUAUGGUCAGCAGUCAUCCCUGAAGUUUUACUUUAAAAUCUUUACUUGUGAUGUGAACUUUGGUAAGAAGCAGAAACUUUUGCGUUGCCAUGGAUACAUGAGUGUUAAAUUCUGUCCAUGUUUCCAUUUUGGGAAAUUCAGUCCAGCAGAUGAGUUUGUUUUUACUGCCAGCUACCAUUCAGUCUGAGAUAUUAAGAAUAAAUAAAUAUGUAUAAUGUGGAAAUUAACAGAGUUUAUUUUUAUUUAUUCCUACACCUGCUGCAUUUAAAGUUCCAGAAUGUGGAGGAAUUUAGGAUCACAAUAACAGACAAUAAUAUUAUCUGAAAGUCGGGUUAUUGUUGUUUAUCAGCACAAUACAAAAAGAUUAAUGUUAGAAAUAUUCCAGUUAAGACUCUAGAAUAUCAUGAUUUAUCUAAAUUUACCUCAAUAAUAUGAAUGUUCAGGUUAAGAUUGUACAGUGAUAUUUAUUAUGUAAG
ensembl:lncRNA